CUGAACAACCCAAGGCUGAACAACGCUGAGUUGAAAAACCUGAGCUGCUAAGCUGCCCCAGUAUCCAGAGAGGAAAAAUCAAUAACGUGAUCAUUCUGGAUCAACAUUAGCAAGUCCAGGAUCAAUAUGGCAAUGAUGCCCCUGGAUCAACAUUAGCAAACCUUGAGCAAGGAUCAGCGUGGUGAUGGUGGUCCUGGAUCAACAAAUCUAUUAUGGAUCAACAUAACAAUGACUCUCCUGGCACAACUUUAGAAAAUCUAUCAAGGAUCAACAUGGUGAUCAGCGUCCCUGGAUCAACAUCAACAACUCUAUCCAGGAUAAUGGCGUAUGAAUUGACACCGAAUAAUCUCUUUUUAAUACAAGAUACUGCAUUAGAGAAAAUGUGACCAUCACAGGUCGUUGUGUGGUUCACUAACUUAAACCUGUCAGUAUUAAUGUUAAGCUAACACGACACUAGCCUAACUACUAGGAAGCAUAUGUGUUAGCAAUAGCAAUCUAACUAGGUAGCUAGCUACUGAUAUAAAUUAUGAGUGCUCAUUUAAACUGAAUUAUCGAAAUAGGUGUAGUAACAUUACAGUAAAGGCUUUUAAUCCAUUUUCCUUGUGUUUUUUUUUUUUUUUUUUUUGGAGUAUCUAGAAUGCCAAUCAGUUUUACUUUACUAUUGCUUUGUUCCCCCAGUUCCUAGAGCACCCAUCUUACAUCUCUACUAUGUUUUUACAAAAGCGCCCAGUUUAAUUUAUUUUGUUUAGAAUCAACAAAAUACAUUUUGUUCAGUAUUAUGAACUGAAUUGGGGAGUUACAGAAAAGCUUAUCUCUGUAAAGCAGGGAGUUUUUGAGAACUUUGAAAUGGGGAAGGUUGUUUGGCACACACUGAUGACAUCAGAGGGCAAUAAUUGAUUAAUUGGAAUGCUGUUCCACGAACAACAAUAGUGAUGUUGAUCCAGGAGCAUAUCCUAUUUGCCUAAAUCGCAUUGUGCGUAGAUUCCGGCUUUCUGGUAAGCAGAGGAUGGUCCUUUUGACUGGCAAACAGCGAGGGAAGUAGAUGACUGAAGCAAUUAAGAAUGAGGCCCCAGAGAGGCAAUCCCUGCCUUGCCUCUCUCAGCAGGGCACAGGCAGAUCAAGUGAGAACACCCCCCACAGGCACUGAAAAAUAUGUCUAAGCCUCAUGUGACGUAGACUGUUACAUAAUGCGUACCUUAUCCAACAACUGUACACAUACAAACUGACAUACAUACCAUACAGAUACCAUAUGUGGAUACCAUACGCUAUAUAGUGCUUUAGGAUUUGCAGUUCUAUACAAAUAACAAAAAAAGGAGGGAAUGCAUUCAAUAUGUUUUUUUUUUUUUUUUUUUUGUGGUUUUUUGUGAUGCACAGUGCCCAGUGAGUUCACUGUGUAUUUUAUGGAACCUAUCUAAUGCAGCAUGUAGGACCCUUCUGCACCCAAUGUUAUUUGAUCUUAUUUGCAUUGUAAAAGUCAUGUGAGGACAUCUCAGCUCCACACAGAGCUAGUGGAAGAUGAGACUUGAGGCGUUUGAACAUGUGAAGGAUUUGAACAUUCACAUGCUUUUCUUUUUGCCAUUGGGAUAUCCAGUGUUUGGAAUGUAUUGCCAAAGUAUAUCAAUACUGCAUAGUACAUGGUGUCCUGUAUCAAUACAAUGUAGUUUAGUGGUAUAGUAACAGCUCGUGUGAUGUAGCGCUAUGCUUAAAGUUGGCAGCCAUGACAGCACCUUGCCAAAUCCAUGUUGCUAGAUCAGGUGUUAUGCUCAUGUUACUGUUGAUAUUGUUUUCCUGCGCUGAUGCUAGCUUCUGUCACUCACUGAGCAGACCUAGGUCAAAUACGUAUUUGUUUUGGAUUCAAAUACUUUUCUGCGCUUUGCUUAUCUUGUCUGGUGCAUUGGAACCAAUGAAAUACUCUCAAAAAGUGCAAACCCUGCCUCUGGUCAUAUUGGCAAGCUCAAUUACACCAGGCAAGAUCAAUAGAGUACAGAAAAGUAUUUGAAUCCAAAACAAAUAUGUAUUUGACCAAGGUCUGUCACUCACCUAAGUAUCACAAUAGCUAAUUUUUUUGUGUCUAGAUUGUCUGAAAUCAAGCAAUGUAGCCGCAUGGAUCAAAUUACCAGCAGUGCAAGUCAGCACUUUAAGACUGAAUUGUCAGAAUGAAAAUAGCUAUUGAAGGUUCAACCAGUUUAUCACAUAAAAGUUUACCUCCAGAAUUUCCCAUCAUACAGCUGUGACUUCAUCUUAAAAAUACUUUCCUCUUGACUUCUGUAAAGUCAUAAUGGCAGUGCUAGACAGAUUCUCUACAAUAGGUGUACUUUUCCCUCCAAACUACCUGUUGAUAUGAACAAGGUAGAUAGGUUUCUUAGACACUGACAAAGAAUAUCAGUGGGUACUGUUGUACCCAACUGU